AGACAGCAGUAGCCGCGGGAAUACGGAGGGUGCAAGCGUUAAUCGGAAUUACUGGGCGUAAAGCGCACGCAGGCGGUCUGACAAGUCAGAUGUGAAAUCCCCGGGCUUAACCUGGGAACUGCAUUUGAAACUGUCAGGCUGGAGUCUUGUAGAGGGGGGUAGAAUUCCAGGUGUAGCGGUGAAAUGCGUAGAGAUCUGGAGGAAUACCGGUGGCGAAGGCGGCCCCCUGGACAAAGACUGACGCUCAGGUGCGAAAGCGUGGGGAGCAAACAGGAUUAGAUACCCCGGUAGUCCCUGUCUCUUAUAC
rnacentral:rRNA from 1 species